rnacentral:rRNA from 1 species
AGAAUCAACGCUGGCGGCGUGCCUAACACAUGCAAGUCGCACGAGAAAGGGUAGCAAUACCUGAGUAAAGUGGCGCACGGGUGAGUAACACGUGAAUUAUCUACCUCCGAGUGGGGAAUAACUGAGAGAAAUCUUAGCUAAUACCGCAUAACACUUACGAGUCAAAGCAGCAAUGCGCUUGGAGAGGAGUUCGCGGCCGAUUAGUUAGUUGGCGGGGUAAUGGCCCACCAAGACGGUGAUCUGUA